rnacentral:rRNA from 1 species
GCUUAAUAACAAUAACAUAAAGUUUGACCUCAAAUCAGGGUAGGAUUACCCGCUGAACUUAAGCAUAUCAAAUAAGCGGAGGAAAAGAAACCAACAGGGAUUGCCUUCAGUUAACGGGCGAGUGAAGCGGCAAAAGCUCAAAUUUGAAAUCUAGCACCUUCGGUGUUCGAGUUGUAAUUUGAAGAUGGUAACCUUGGGUUUGGCUCUUGUCUAUGUUCCUUGGAACAGGACGUCAUAGAGGGUGAGAAUCCCGUCUGAUGAGAUGCCCAUUCCUUUGUAAGGUACUAUCGAAGAGUCGAGUUGUUUGGGAAUGCAGCUCUAAGUGGGUGGUAAAUUCCAUCUAAAGCUAAAUAUUGGCGAGAGACCGAUAGCGAACAAGUACAGUGAUGGAAAGAUGAAAAGAACUUUGAAAAGAGAGUGAAAAAGUACGUGAAAUUGUUGAAAGGGAAGGGCAUUAGAUCAGACUUGGUGUUUUACGAUUAUCUUCUCUUCUUGAGUUGUGCACUCGUAUUUCACUGGGCCAGCAUCGAUUCGGAUGGUAAGAUAAUAGCAGUUAAAUGUGGCUCUUCGGAGUGUUAUAGUUUCUGUUGAUAUUGCCUGUCUGGAUCGAGGGCUGCGUCUUUUGACUAGGAUGCUGGCGUAAUGAUCUAAUGCCGCCCGUCUUGAAACACGGACCAAGGAGUCUAACGUCUAUGCGAGUGUUUGGGUGUAAAACCCGUACGCGUAAUGAAAGUGAACGUAGGUGAGAGCUCUUUUGAGUGCAUCAUCGACCGAUCCUGAUGUUUUCGGAUG